GAUGAACGCUGGCGGCGUGCCUAACACAUGCAAGUCGAGCGAACGGACGAGAAGUUUGCUUCUCUGAUGUUAGCGGCGGGCGUGAGUGAAACACGUGUAUUACCCACCUAUAUGACUGGGAUACCUGCGGGAAUCCGGAUCUAAUACCGGAUAAUAUGUUGAACCGCAGGGUUCAGGAGAGUUUUUCGGUCUUGCUGUCACUUCUAGGUGUAUCCGCGCUGUAUUAGGUAGUUGGUAAGGUAACGGCUUACCAAGGCAACGAUGCAUAGCCGACGUGAGAGGGUGAUCGGCCACACUGGAACUGAGACACGGUCCAGACUCCUACGGGAGGCAGCAGUCGGGAAUGUUACGCAAUGGGCGGAAGCCUGACGGAACGACGCCGCGUGAGUGAUGAAGGUCUUCGGAUCGUAAAACUCUGUUAUUAGGGAAGAACAUAUGUGUAAGUAGCUGUGGACAUCGUGACGGUACCUGAAUAAAAAGCACCGGCUAACUACGUG
rnacentral:rRNA from 1 species